AUGACAAAGUACUUAAGUCUCUAUCAGCCAUUCGCCCACAUAUAUCUCAAAGUGCUCUAUACUCUAUGAUCCAUCGCUUGCAAAGAUUUUAAAGCUCUCAAUCCUUUAUCAUUAUUCAUGACUUGCACAAAAAUCUCAACUCACUCCUUUUAUCAUCCAUCUGUCUGUACAGAUCUCAAAGCACUUCACCUAUGACAUUCAUCUUCCUACAUAGAUCUUUAAGCACUUCAUCCUAUAUAAUUCAUCCACAUAUAUGGACUUCUAAGUGUUCUAUUCUUUGUCAUCUAUCUGCUUGCACAAAUCUUAAAAUGAUUCAUCCUCCAUUUUCUAUCCAUAUGCGUACGUAGAUCUCAAAGCACUCCCUUUAUUAUCUAUCUACCUACAUAGAUCUCAAAGUACUCUAUCCUUCAUCAUCCAUUUGUAUGCGUACAUUUUAAAAUGCUCCAUCGACUUUCAACCUAUCCACACAAAUUUUAAAGCACUCGAUUCUUUAC
rnacentral:lncRNA from 1 species